rnacentral:rRNA from 1 species
GGAGUCUGGGCCGUGUCUCAGUCCCAAUGUGGCCGUUCAACCUCUCAGUCCGGCUACUGAUCGUCGCCUUGGUGGGCCGUUACCUCACCAACCAGCUAAUCAGACGCGAGCCCAUCUCUGAGUGAUAAAUCUUUGAUAACAAAGUCAUGCGGCUUCGUUAUGUCAUAGGGUAUUACCAUCCGUUUCCAGAAGCUAUCCCCCUCUCAGAGGCAGGUUGCUCACGUGUUACUCACCCGUCCGCCACUAAGAUACCUCAGUAAACCAAAAUAUCUCCGUUCGACUUGCAUGUGUUAAGCGUGCCGCCAGCGUUCGUCCUGAGCCACUGAUCAAACUCU